ACUCCAUGUGUAACUCUGUGUUGUCUGUUCACACUGCUAUGCUUUAUCUUGGCCAGGUCGCAGUUGAAAAUGAGAACUUGUUCUCAACUAGCCUACCUGGUUAAAUAAAGGUGUUCUCAACUAGCCUACCUGGUUAAAUAAAGGUGUUCUCAACUAGCCUACCCGGUUAAAUAAAGGUGUUCUCAACUAGCCUACCUGGUUAAAUAAAGGUGUUCUCAACUAGCCUACCUGGUUAAAUAAAGGUUUUCUCAACUAGCCUACCUGGUUAAAUAAAGGUGAAAUAAAUACAAAUAAAAAUACAAGU
ensembl:lncRNA